AAGUCGUAACAAGGUUUCCGUAGGUGAACCUGCCAUUAACACGUAUCCAACGUUAAACCCCCUGACGUUCAGAGAAAAAUUCAAGAAACGCCCCCUGGUAACUCACAUGUUUGUUAUGACUCUGUGGGACUUGCCUUUUUUGAAGGACGGAGUGUGGAUAGAUGCGGGUCGCAAGUAGGCUUGGUUGUAUGUCUGAAAGUGUCACCGAUUGACGGAUAACUGAUUCGCGAGAUGAAGAGGCCCCCUGGUACACAUGUUUGUUAUGACUCUGUGCCUCUUCGCGACCGAUCAGACCGUUUUGGCCACACGCCAAAAUUUUUCGGGCAAGUCUGGCUGUAAUGGCCCCGAUGUAAACUCCACAUUCGGGGGUGUCGAGGAAACAGGUUCUC
rnacentral:misc_RNA from 1 species